rnacentral:rRNA from 1 species
UACAGAGGGUGCAAGCGUUAAUCGGAAUUACUGGGCGUAAAGCGUGCGUAGACGGUUAUGUAAGUCAGAUGUGAAAGCCCCGGGCUCAACCUGGGAAUUGCAUUUGAGACUGUGUAGCUAGGGUGCGGAAGAGGGAAGCGGAAUUUCCGGUGUAGCGGUGAAAUGCGUAGAUAGUCGGAAGGAACACCAGUGGCGAAAGCGGCUUCCUGGUCCAGCACCGACGUUCAGGCACGAAAGCGUGGGGAGCAAACAGG